ensembl:snRNA U6 U6 spliceosomal RNA
UUGCUUCAGCAGUACAUAUACUAAAAUUGGAAUGAUACAGAGAAGAUUAGCAUGGACCCUGAGCAAGGAUGACAGGCAAAUUCGAGAAGCAUUUCAAAACAAA